rnacentral:rRNA from 1 species
UUUUUAUAAUAAGUUUUUUCUGCCCGGUGUAUUGUUAUAAACGGCCGCGGUAUUUUGACCGUGCGAAGGUAGCGUAAUCAUUUGCUCUUUAAUUGGGGGCUUGUAUGAAAGAAAUUUUGAGACUUUUUCUGUCUUUUUCUAAAAGUUAGAAUUUGCUGUUUUUGUGAAGAAGCAGGAUUUUGUCAAAAAGACAAGAAGACCCUUUUAAGCUUUAUUCUUUGCUUUUCGCUAUUUGCUUUUCUUGUUUGUUUAAGGUAUGGUUUGGUGUUAAUUAGGUUUUGGUUGGGGUGACUGAAGAAGACUGGAUCUUCUUUGUUUGUUUGGGCUUGUUGGCUAAAUUGUGACCCAAGAUUUUUUGGUUGAAAAAAUUAGUUACUGAAGGGAUAACAGCGUAAUCUUUUCGGAGAGUUCUUAUUGAAGAAAAGGAUUGCGACCUCGAUGUUGACUUGCUUUUUCCUGAUAAGGUGUAGGGGCUGUGAGGGUUGGUCUGUUCGACCAUUAAAAAAGUACGUGAGUUGAGUUCAGACCGGCGUGA